GUCAAAGGCAGAGAGCAAGCUCUGUUCAAAUCAAAUCACGUUUUUUUGUCACAUGCGCCGGAUAGAACUUUACCAUGAAAUGCUUACUUAUGAGCCCUUUCCCAACGAUGCAGAGUAAUAAAAAAAACCCACAAGGAAUAAAAUACACAAGAAUGAAGCUAUAUACAGGGAGUACCAGUAGUAUAUCAAUGAGGCAGAUGAAAAUGCGCAGCGCUCCGUUUUUAGGUCAGUGGGACACGGAAUGGCGCUCUCUCUCUCUCCCUUCUUUUGAUCGACGAGUGGAAACAUUGUGACCUUCCUGACAUUCUAGUUUUCAGUUUUCCCUCGCAACUUUGUUUUUAAAACAUACUACACCCUCUAGUAUUGUGUCUGGGUGAAAACCGAGACAGAGGAAGAGAUGGCUCAUCUGGUGGCUGUGGUGAUUCUUUAGGGGAAAGAAAGAGCAGAGCAAAAUAGGAGGGAAUUCCUAGCUGUCUGUCUCUCACUGUGAAAAAAAGACAGAGAAAAGUGUCCUGGAAGGUGUAACCACUAAAACUAUUAUGCAAAUGAGGAAAUGAGGAAGGGAGCUGCCACUGUGAGAAAGAUAUACUGUAAACUAGUAUUAUUAUGUAAUAAAAUGGUCAUACUCUAGAUUGUUAUGAUGAGGUUGAAGCUAGGUCAAGUUGUUAUGAUGAGGUUGAGACUAGAUCUAUAUUGUUAUGAGGUUGAGACUAGGUCAGGUUGUUAUGACAAGGUUGAGACUAGGGUCUAGGUUGUUAUGAUGUGGUUGAUACCAGGUCAGGUUGUUAUGAUGAGGUUGAGACUAGGGUCUAGGUUGUUAUGAUGAGGUUUAUACUAGGUCAGGUUGUUAUGAUGAGGUUGAGACUAGAUCUAUAUUGUUAUGAGGUUGAGACUAGGUCAGGUUGUUAUGAUGAGGUUGAGACUAGGGUCUAGGUUGUUAUGAUGUGGUUGAUACCAGGUCAGGUUGUUAUGAUGAGGUUGAUACUAGGUCAGGUUGUUAUGAUGAGGUUGAGACUAGAUCUAUAUUGUUAUGAGAG
rnacentral:lncRNA from 1 species